UCUCCCCUUAGCCUGCCCUCCUGUCAGGGGUCACAGGUGUCAAAGAAAAAUGUCGCAGGACUUUGGAAGGUAAUAUUUUUUUCCCACUAGCUAGAAGACUGGAACAGAAAAUUGUUCAAAAGAUAGAAGUGGGAUGUCUGGAUGGUGAGGGAAAGAUUUGGUCAGCCCAGGAGCAGGAGGGUGGAACAUAGCAGCUGAGAAAAAUGAGGGGUUUUUGCGGGGUGGGGGGUUGUAAAAUCAGCAAGCAGAGGAUGGGGAUCCUGGAUGAAUGGGAGACUAGGGAGAAGCCAGAGUUGCAGGGUGGCCCCUUGCUGCUGCUGCUGCUGGUCCUCAGAGGGCCUUUCAAACACCACAAGGAUUCUCUGACAUUGCUCCCCCGGGGAUCGGGGCCUGAGGGAAUCAGCCCCCUGCUUGGGCCCCCUUGCCCCACGCUGCCCUGCUUGAGCAAGUGUCGCUGUCCCCCACCCCAGGCCCGUGGCACACAGCUCUAUUACCCACGCACAGGAACUGCUCUGCAAUAAAGUAAACCAAGGUAAUGGGAAUGACUGAUGCAGAGGGCGACCCCCCAGAGAGCUGGGCCUGCUGCUGCCCCUCUUCCCUGCGCCAGUGAUCGCCAUUAAAACCGCCGUGCCAUGCUAGGAGUUGGGACCACCAAAGUCAAGUACUCUGUGGCAAUGUUUUCUGCCAUCAAGGAGUUGGCUGGCGGGCUGGAGCUCAUCAAGAACCAGACCUCAGGAUGAUACUCACGGGUUUCCCUUGGAGCACAACUAAGAGGUCGGGAAAGAAGGCUUCCCGGAGGCAGUACUGCUUGGGCCAAGUUUUUAAGGAUGAGUAGGCAUCAGCCAAACCAAGGGUAGAAGGACAUGCUUUCCAGAGACAGAUACUAAUGCAUCGGUUAGGAAUUACCUUCAAUUGCUGAUGUAGUUCAGAAACAGCAAUUGCUUAAACAAGAUUCAAGUUUACUUCUUUCUGGGGACGCCUGGGUGGCUCAGUUGGUUAAGCAUCUGCCUUCGGCUCAGGUCAUGAUCCUCGGGUCCUGGGGUCGAGCCCUGUGUCAGACCCCCUGCUCAGCAGGGAGCCUGCUUCUCCCUCUCCCUCUGCCUGCCACUCCCCUUGCUUGUGCUCUCUCUCUCUCUGUCAAAUAAA